rnacentral:lncRNA from 1 species
GCUGAAUUACCCAGUCACCCAAAUCCAGAGCAGGCAGGCUCUAUUUCAAUUCUGUGGUUCCUUGUAUGUGUGAUUAAUGGUGGAGCCCAGGCCAAAAGACAAGCAUCGGAAUGCAAAGGACCACCCACGAAGUGGCGUCUUUACUGCAUCCUGAACUGGAGACCUCUGGCUCACUACUGCUGCUGCAGUUCUGCUGAGACCAUAGAAGAAUCUCAGCACUGACCUGUCAGUGUUCCCUCUGGCCUCCAAAGUCCAGGAGAUCAGUCACACUGUCUUUGAGCUUGAGUUGAGGCCAAUGCUCAUUUUAUUCCUACUCCAUGGAGACUGUUGUCAGUGAAAGGCUAAUAGGGGACACACACAGUGCAGCUCUGGACCCUGGGACUUGGAAAGACUUCCUGAGCAAACUUGCUAUGUGAACCCACCUGACUCACUUCCUGCUCAGCUCCUCUAAGAAGGGCAAUCCAUCUGGUAGUCUGCUUGGCAGAGUUAUGGUGAUCUUCAUCUUUCAGAGUUCCUCUUUCUACAGCUCACCAGUGAGAGAAUGAUGGAGUGGAAGCCAUAGGAACUACAGGGAGAAAUGGAAGAGAAGCAGAAUGUGCCAGGAGCAGUCUGGUCUCUUUGGUGUUUUAGAAAGUUGACCACAGCGCAGAGUCAGGCAAGCAGCACCCUACUGGGGACCCACAAUGGAUCCUGGCCUAUGCCAUUUUAUGUGAGUAUUUUCAAAUUCUUUCAGCUGUGGCCUUCUUAGAAGGCAGAUGGGCAUGAGGUGCUCUUUGUACUCACUUUCAGGUACCCUACUGGGAAGAGGGAUGAGUUCUGCUGGGGAGCCUCCUCUUGCUACAGAUGGCCCUACUGUGAGGGUGAAACCUGCAUAUAAUAGACAAUGCAUUUAUUCACUUGGCAUUCAGCAACCCCCAACCACCAAACAACCCAGGCAUGGUCAAGCAAGUAUGGCUACCGGGAAAACUGGAGAGCUUUAGCCAGACCCAGUAG